CUUUAUUCUUAGCCUUUUGGCUAAGAUCUAGCAUCUGUUCUUGUCAGUUUAAUAUCUGAUAUGACCUUUAUCCAAGGACAAUAUAUUAAAUGGAUUUGGGGAGCAGGGGGAUGGAAUAGAGCUUGCUCCAUCCACUCCAUGCAUUGAGCUGGUACUGCAGUGCCUCCAGGAACGGGCACCCCCU
ensembl:snRNA U2 U2 spliceosomal RNA